rnacentral:rRNA from 1 species
UACGUAGGGGGCAAGCGUUAUCCGGAUUUAUUGGGCGUAAAGCGCGCGCAGGCGGUCCUUUAAGUCUGAUGUGAAAGCCCACGGCUCAACCGUGGAGGGUCAUUGGAAACUGGGGGACUUGAGUACAGAAGAGAAGAGUGGAAUUCCACGUGUAGCGGUGAAAUGCGUAGAGAUGUGGAGGAACACCAGUGGCGAAGGCGACUCUUUGGUCUGUAACUGACGCUGAGGCGCGAAAGCGUGGGGAGCAAACAGG